rnacentral:rRNA from 1 species
AUUGAACGCUGGCGGAAUGCUUUACACAUGCAAGUCGAACGGUAGAGGGGGCAACCCCUUGAGAGUGGCGAACGGGUGAGUAAUAUAUCGGAACGUGCCCAGUCGUGGGGAUAACGUAGCGAAAGCUACGCUAAUACCGCAUACGAUCUAUGGAUGAAAGCGGGGGAUCGCAAGACCUCGCGCGAUUGGAGCGGCCGAUAUCAGAUUAGGUAGUUGGUGAGGUAAAGGCUCACCAAGCCGACGAUCUGUAGCUGGUCUGAGAGGACGACCAGCCACACUGGGACUGAGACACGGCCCAGACUCCUACGGGAGGCAGCAGUGGGGAAUUUUGGACAAUGGGCGCAAGCCUGAUCAGCAAUGCCGCGUGCAGGAUGAAGGCCUCGGUUGUAACGUAG